CUCAGGUUGCAAGAGAAAGAGAGCAGAUGGGGAAUGAUCAGUUAUGUCUUCAUCUCGCAUGCGGUAAAUCAGUCCUUUACAUAAGAUAAGGUGAACAUAGACCAGCUUCCUGUGGAGAUAUGUAACCCUUUAUCUGAGCUAUCUGCUUAGGAACAAAAGGAAAGGCAGUUUCUUGCAUGAUUCAGCUUCAGUUUAAUGUUUUUUCCUUUUUGGCUGUAAAUUGGGGUCCUGAGGCUUUAUUUUUCCCUGCACACUAUAUUGUAUGUGAAAAUUGUUGUUCAGGACCUAAAGUUGUUUACUUACUCCAGCUACGUCCCUUAGCUCAAUUUCCAUUUAGAGUGGCUUCUGGAAGGCUGGAAUUGAAAUCCACCAGUGCCCAUUUCAAGGUGUUCCCAACAUCACCUAGGAAAAAGGAGCCCGGAUAUGCUUCCCUAUGGAUGCAGGUCAGUCAUCAUAAUGCGCAGAAACAGCAUGGACCUCAGCCUGGAGCCAUUGUCCUGAAAGGGGAUUCUUCCCAGCUUCGGCCUGCGACUGAUCCCUGAGAAGCGACCGCUCCAUCCCUGAACCCUUCCUGCUUGUGUCUCCUCACUUCCUAGUGAUCACGGCAUUCAGCCUCAGAAUGCCGCAGGCCUAUCCCACUGGAAGCUGCCGAGGUGCCUCCUGCCACACAGGACGCCCGGCACAGCAGCAGGAUCAAGGGACCAGCAGGGAAGAAGCUGCAGUGAUUUGGGGGAACAGCCUGAAAAUCACCUGGAGCCUGGUGGCAGGUGGUCCCACCUCCUCCCCAAUAUUAGAGGAACUUCAGCGUGAGAGGGGCUAUCCCUGCUGCCUUGUGGCUGCAGAAGGAGAGAGAAGGAACUUCUCCAAAAAGGGGUUUCAUGAAAGCCCUGAGGCGAGAUACUCACUUCAGAAGGUUCAGGACAAGGACACUCACUUUGUUCUGUGCGGUGUGGAGACACGGGUGAGCGUUCCUCAGUGGCACCAACUGUUUCCCUCUUGUCCUCAGCUGCCAGUGCCCUGGGAUAUGUCAUUUGGACAGAACACUUUUCCAUGUCCUGCCAUCCAUUCCACGGAGGCAGGAGAAAGGGGUCUGGAGGCAGGAACAUAAGGCCGAUUCACCCUGACUUCGGAGAACUAAUCAAAUGGAAACUCUUGGGCUAUGACAGGAAAUAUCCUCUCCAUUUACACAGGGCGUACACUGAGAACAUGACUUUGUAAUUGUACUUCCUCCUCUUCAUUUACAUAGGGUGCACACCAAGUAACCGAUGGAAACCUCUAGAGGGGAUUUAAACCCCAGAAACUUCAGUAACGGGCUCCCUCUGCUCAGGCGUUCCCACCCUGUAGAGUGUGCUUUCAUUUUCCGUCAAUCUCUGCUUUGCUGCUUCAUUCUUUCCUUGCUCCAUUUUUGCAUUGUGUCCAAGUCUUGGUUCAAGGCACCAAGAAGCUGGACACCUUUAACCAGUAACAUUAUCUUAAUAUCUUGUUUCAAAACUGAAUUCAGUUUUUCAUCUGUUCACCUAGCUUUUAGAAAAUUACAGUGAAAUACAACUUGGAACUUCCACAGCUUAAUGCGAGGGUCACUAUGAGCUAUACAACAGGUUUGAUGUUUAAAAGUUUGUAACAUUUUUUGCUGCUCUUUCAUUUACAAACUACAGUAAAUAUUUUAUUUCUUAUGUUUAAUUAUGAAAUAUAUGACACGUAAGAGUCUACAAAAUUUGGGUGGGCACGGUGGUUCAUGCCUGUAAUCCCAGCACUUUCGGAGGCUGAGGCAGGUGGAUCAUUUGAGGUCAGGUGUUCAAGACCAGCCUGGCCAACAUGGUGAAAACCGUCUCUACUAAAAAAAUACAAAAAGUUGUCUGAGCAUCAUGGCAGGCACCUGUGAUCCCAGCUACUCGGGAGGCUGAGGUGAGAGAGUUGUUUGAACCCAGGAGACAGAAGUUGCAGUGAGCCGAGAUCAUGCCAUUACACUCUAGCCUGGGCUACAUGAGCAAAACUCUGCCUCAAAAACAAACAAACAAACAAAAUUGAAUGUAUAAUCCGAUAGAUUAAUAAUUGCACUGAUGUCAUCAUCCAUUAGCAUCGAGUGUCUUGAAAGGCUACAAUAUGCCCUUCCUUGAUCACCUGGGUCUCCCUUCUUCACCCAGACAUAGGACUGAUGUGUUAAUGUUUGUCUUGCUUUUCAUAAGGUUUAUCAUUUCUGUGUAUAUUAUUAAGCAAUGUCAUACGUUAUGGUUUGUGAACUGUAUAUGGAAUAGCUGCGUAUUUUUCAGUAAUUUCCUUUGUUCACUGUAAUUUUUCAUUGUUGAUACUUCUAACUGCAGUUCAUUUUCACAGCUGUAUCAUAUUCCACAAUGUGACUGUGCCAGCUUUUUUCCUUGAUAGAGGUGUGUUCGGAUGGCUUUCAGGUGUUUUCUAUUUCUUCAAUCACUGCCUAAAUAUUCUUGCCCCGUAUGUGUCUCUUGAAGACAUUGCAAGGGCAUUUCUGGGGC
rnacentral:lncRNA from 1 species